rnacentral:rRNA from 1 species
GACAGAGGGUGCAAGCGUUGUUCGGAAUUAUUGGGCGUAAAGGGCGCGUAGGCGGCCUCGCAAGUCGGAUGUGAAAUCCCAGGGCUUAACCCUGGAAGUGCAUCCGAAACUGCUUGGCUUGAGUCCCGGAGAGGGUGGUGGAAUUCCCAGUGUAGAGGUGAAAUUCGUAGAUAUUGGGAGGAACACCGGUGGCGAAGGCGACCACCUGGACGGAGACUGACGCUGAGGCGCGAAAGCGUGGGGAGCAAACAGG